rnacentral:rRNA from 1 species
AUGAACGCUGGCGGCGUGCCUAAUACAUGCAAGUCGAGCGAACAGACGAGGAGCUUGCUCCUCUGACGUUAGCGGCGGACGGGUGAGUAACACGUGGAUAACCUACCUAUAAGACUGGGAUAACUUCGGGAAACCGGAGCUAAUACCGGAUAAUAUAUUGAACCGCAUGGUUCAAUAGUGAAAGACGGUUUUGCUGUCACUUAUAGAUGGAUCCGCGCCGCAUUAGCUAGUUGGUAAGGUAACUGCUUACCAAGGCAACGAUGCGUAGCCGACCUGAGAGGAGGAUAGGCAAAAAUGGAAAUGAGACAAGGACCAGAAGAAGAAGGGAGGCAGAAGUAGGGAAUCUUCAGCAAUGGGAGAAAGCAUGACGGAGCAAAGAAGCGGGAGUGAUGAAGGUCUUAGGAUCGUAAAACUCUGUUAUGAGGGAAGAACAAAUGUGUAAGGAACUAUGCACGUCUGGAGGGUAACUAAUCAGAAAGAAACGGCGAACUAAGUG